rnacentral:rRNA from 1 species
CAUUUUGAACCGCAUGGUUCGAAAUUGAAAGGCGGCUUCGGCUGUCACUUAUGGAUGGACCCGCGUCGCAUUAGCUAGUUGGUGAGGUAACGGCUCACCAAGGCAACGAUGCGUAGCCGACCUGAGAGGGUGAUCGGCCACACUGGGACUGAGACACGGCCCAGACUCCUACGGGAGGCAGCAGUAGGGAAUCUUCCGCAAUGGACGAAAGUCUGACGGAGCAACGCCGCGUGAGUGAUGAAGGCUUUCGGGUCGUAAAACUCUGUUGUUAGGGAAGAACAAGUGCUAGUUGAAUAAGCUGGCACCUUGACGGUACCUAACCAGAAAGCCACGGCUAACUACGUGCCAGCAGCCGCGGUAAUACGUAGGUGGCAAGCGUUAUCCGGAAUUAUUGGGCGUAAAGCGCGCGCAGGUGGUUUCUUAAGUCUGAUGUGAAAGCCCACGGCUCAACCGUGGAGGGUCAUUGGAAACUGGGAGACUUGAGUGCAGAAGAGGAAAGUGGAAUUCCAUGUGUAGCGGUGAAAUGCGUAGAGAUA